GCCCCAGUGGCGCAAUCGGUUAGCGCACGGUACUUAUAAUGCCGAGGUUGUGAGUUCGAGCCUCACCUGGGGCA
rnacentral:tRNA from 1 species